rnacentral:tRNA from 1 species
GUUGCGGUGGCUGAGUGAUAAAGCUCUCGGCUUUUGAACCGAGGGUUCCGAGUUCGAACCCCGGCGAAGACU